CACAGCAAGUCAGGCAGCAUCCGAGGAACAGGAGAGUCGGCUUUUUGGGCAUAAGCCCUUCAUCAGGGAUGAGAUAAUGACACAGCAGCCCAUCGUCUGGAGUUUACGAGGUGGAAGUGGCCUCUGUACUGAGACAUGGAUAGUCUGUCAGAUUGGUACUUCCAUAUAAUUGUAUACAUCCUGAAGAAGGGUUAUACCCGAAACAUUGAC